ACGUCAUCGCAGCCAUCUUGACCGUCUACUUUUUUCGAGAUUUUUCAAGGCCGUGUACAGCCACUUAUUGCCUUACUUGUUCCAAUCUGCACUUAUUUUGCGCACGAUCAUCGAUUCUAAAUAACAAACCAAUGGAUCACUACCAGUGGAUCACCACCAGAGGAUCAUAUAUUAUUAUUUACCUUAAGGAACAGUCAUUAGCAGACAACUCUAUAGCUUCUUGAUUGAAACUUGUAUGUGAAUUGGAUUAGCCGCUGCGAGAAUUGAUGUCCGUGCAGGAAAAGAAGAUAUUAUACCUGAUUUUGCAACAGUAACUCUUUGUUGUUCCAUUGAUUCUAAUAAUGCCUGGAACAAUAUAUACAUAUAAAAAUAUAUUUCAGCAAAUAUGUUGCUAUGAAUAUUUAUAUUAUUUUACCUGAUGCUGAGAACACAUUUUAUCAAACUCGUCGAUGCAACAACAACCUUGAUCUGCUAAAACCAAAGCACCAGGUUCUAAAGAAAAGUCAUUUGAACCGGUUUCUUUUGUAAGUGUUACCGUUAGUCCGGAGGAUGUACUUGAAUUGCCACAAA